rnacentral:lncRNA from 1 species
AACGACAAAAAAGCUCAAGGCAGGAACAGCAGCCCAGGGACCUGAGACCAGCGUUCUCAAAUGAAGAUCUGCUGUUAGAGGAGAAUUCUUCUGUCCUAGCUGUGUCUCUGUGAUCUGUGGAUGAGGGUGGGAAAGCACCACUCAGUCAAUUGGGGUGUACAAAAUGGAGUUUGAGAAGGUCUCACAUCCAGGUUGUUUUGAAGCAAAGUCCAAGCAUUGUAUCACUUCAUCUGCAAAUAUUUCAAUAAGUACCCAAAAGUGGUUGGACUGAGUCCCAUGAAGCCAGAUCACUUCUGACUGCAAGGAGCUUGGAAAAGCAAGUAUCUGGAUCUUUUACCAGCUAAAUUUGGAGCGAUGAGGCUUCCUCUUUGAAGAUCACAGGUGAGAAGAUUAGGUGCUUUCUCAGAAGCCCAGCAACCUGAUGGGAGUGUGGAGUGAGCAAGACCCAAAUCGGAGCUUCAUCCCUGCAUGGUUCAUUUUGCUUAUUUGGCAAACUUGCCCUGCAGAAUCUACUCAAGCUUCCUCAGUUUCUCAAAUCAUUCUUGGGCAACAAAUGAACAAGAAAGAGGACGUCUUAUUAUCUGGUGUCUGGCUUGCUGAUUUAAUAACCUAGGAGACAGUGUUUGAAGAACACAAACUCUAAAGUCCUUCACUUAAAAAAAAAAAAAAACUUUCCCAAAUUGCUUACCAUUUGGAAAAAUUGCCUUACCUUCUUCAGUCAUCUCUGAUGUUGUCAUCCUCAGAGUAAGAAGUACGCAUUCAUAAGGAACCAUAACGUCCUUCAGGAAAUCCAGUACACCCUACAAUUUUACCUAAAACUUUGAUGUUGUUUUUUCUGAGCAUUUUACCUUCUAGGGAAAUGGAUCUCAUGCUGUUUAUCAGUUUCUGAAAGUUGUUAUUAAUCUCCCCUCAUCCCAAAAUUGAAGAACUUUGCUUAAAUCUUAGAAUCAGAACUUUGGCUCCAGUAAUAAAGACUUUUCAAUAUCUUUAUCUGCCAUUGAGUCUUACCUAACGAAAUAAAGCCUCCAAAGUGGGAAUUUGAAA